GCUCAUCUCAUUAAAAAAUCGGAUAACAUUACAAUGUACAAAAAUAUUCUAUGAUUUGUUUGUUAAAUGUUAUUAUGGGAAAUAUAAUUAAUUGUAAUAUCCAAUUGUUAAGAUACUGAACAUCCCCUUUUAAUUCAAAACGUAUCAUUUCGUGACAGGUCUAAUGAACAUUCAGAAUUAAACAAUAUACCUAACGAGACCGGUACAAAAUUGUAGGCAACAUCAAAAUGCCGCGUGCAAUGUUUAUACAAGAGACACAAAUCAACGUGUGGUUUAUCAAAGUUCAUUAAACUGGUUUGUUUGCCAACGGAAUUAGGGAAAUUGAUUGCUACAGCUUCGAGAUAUCUGGACAUACAUUGUCAGUGUAAAUAUUUCACCCUUAUUAAUUUAUUCGUAUAUUAGUUCCACAUCAUUCAUAUAGUCAUUUUGUACAUAUUUGUUAAAUAUUCUGCAUACAAAAAUAUUAUACACCCAUUUUUAUUUGUAUUAUUCUAUUAUAUAACAUAACCUUAUUUGCACCAAUUAUAAUAUGUAUUUAUAUUAUGAAAUGAAAGCUAUUGUUUUAUGUGUAAUUUUGUUAAAUGAUGUCACAA
rnacentral:lncRNA from 1 species